UCUAUUAAUCAACAGUAACAGUUAGCACCGGCUAAAUAUUCUACCUACUUCAAUGGUGCAAUGAAUCGAUUGUGUGCAUAGUAAAAAGCGGUAAUAAUGUAGUUUAUUGAUUAUCGUUGUGUAGGCAUGAGGAUGUGAGGAUGACAACAUGUAUUUCAAGCUAAUAUAAGUGUACUUACUCGUUGCUGACGCCUCCAAUGCCCACAACCGACUGGCAGAUCGAAAUUGUUAUGGACGAAGUCGGCGCCGCACACGCAAAAACACGAUAGAAACGAGACGCAAAUAGACGAUUGACGAUUCGAUUCGACGAACAACAAAAUGAGUCAUAGAGAAUUUCUGUAUACUACCAUGGUAGAUUCAAUAUUGCGCAAGAAUGCGACAAAAAUGUAAUUUUUACUAUUGCUCAUCGCCAUCCUUUCCUUAGGUUAGAACAUUUCACAGUAAACAAUCGCAAAAAUUCACAUGCAAAUAAGAUAAGCCGGGUAAGAAAAUUUAUUGAUGCAGGUGCACCUGCGCAUAUGCAUGAUGCGCUCUUUCAAAACUGAAAUUUCCUACAAAAUCAACCUGAAGAGCAGAUACAAUAUUACAAUGUCAAUCCAAUUCUCCUGCAAAGCAAUAGACAAUUAAACGGUAGAAAAUAAAUCAUCAUACAAUCCA